UACAGAGGUGGCAAGCGUUGUUCGGAAUUACUGGGCGUAAAGGGCGCGUAGGCGGCCUUCUAAGUCAGACGUGAAAUCCCCCGGCUUAACCUGGGAACUGCGUCUGAUACUGGAGGGCUUGAGUGCGGGAGAGGGAUGUGGAAUUCCAGGUGUAGCGGUGAAAUGCGUAGAUAUCAAGAGGAACACCUGAGGUGAAGACGGGUUGCUGGGCUGACACUGACGCUGACAGCGCGAAAGCUAGGGGAGCAAACGGG
rnacentral:rRNA from 1 species